GUCCACGCCGUAAACGAUGAGUGCUAGUUGUCGGGCGGCAUGCCGUUCGGUGACGCAGCUAACGCAUUAAGCACUCCGCCUGGGGAGUACGGUCGCAAGAUUAAACUCAAAGGAAUUGACGGGGGCCCGCACAAGCGGUGGAGCAUGUGGUUUAAUUCGAAGCAACGCGCAGAACCUUACCACCUUUUGACAUGCCCUGACCGCCGGAGAGAUCCGGUUUUCCCUUCGGGGACAGGGACACAGGUGCUGCAUGGCUGUCGU
rnacentral:rRNA from 1 species